rnacentral:rRNA from 1 species
AUUGAACGCUGGCGGCAGGCCUAACACAUGCAAGUCGAGCGGAUGAGGGGAGCUUGCUCCUGGAUUCAGCGGCGGACGGGCGAGUAAUGCCUAGGAAUCUGCCUGGUAUUGGGGGAUAACGUCCGGAAACGGGCGCUAAUACCGCAUACGAUCUGAUGGUGAAAGUGGUGGAUCUUCGGAGCUAACGCUACCAGAUGAGCCUAGGUCGUAUUAGCUAGUUGGUGGGGUAAAGGCCUACCAAGGCGACUAUCCGUAACUGGUCUGAGAGGAUGAUCAGUCACACUGGAACUGAGACCCGGUCCAGACUCCUACGGGAGGCAGCCGUGGGGAAUAUUGGACCAUGGGCGGAAGCCUGAUCCAGCCAUGCCGCGUGUGUGAAGAAGGUCUUCGGAUUGUAAAGCACUUUAAGUUGGGAGGAAGGGAAGUAAGUUAAUACCUUGCUGUUUUGACGUUACCAACAGAAUAAGCCCCGGCUAACUUCGUG